rnacentral:rRNA from 1 species
UACGUAGGGGGCUAGCGUUGUCCGGAUUUAUUGGGCGUAAAGAGCGUGUAGGCGGCCAGGUAGGUCUGCUGUGAAAACUCGGGGCUUAACCCCGAGCCUGCAGUGGAUACGGGCAGACUAGAGGUAGGUAGGGGAGAAUGGAAUUCCCGGUGUAGCGGUGAAAUGCGCAGAUAUCGGGAGGAACACCGGUGGCGAAGGCGGUUCUCUGGGCCUUACCUGACGCUGAGGAGCGAAAGCGUGGGGAGCGAACAGG